rnacentral:rRNA from 1 species
UACGUAGGGUGCAAGCGUUAAUCGGAAUUACUGGGCGUAAAGCGUGCGCAGGCGGCUUUGCAAGACAGAUGUGAAAUCCCCGGGCUUAACCUGGGAACUGCAUUUGUGACUGCAAAGCUAGAGUACGGUAGAGGGGGAUGGAAUUCCGCGUGUAGCAGUGAAAUGCGUAGAUAUGCGGAGGAACACCGAUGGCGAAGGCAAUCCCCUGGACCUGUACUGACGCUCAUGCACGAAAGCGUGGGGAGCAAACAGG